GACGUACGCUGGCGGCGUGCCUAAUACAUGCAAGUCGAACGAAGCUGUUUUAACUGGUACUUGCACCGACUUAAACAACUGAGUGGCGAACGGGUGAGUAACAUGUGGGUAACCAUCACCAAAGCGGGGGAUAACAUUAGGAAAAAGAUGCUAAUAGCACAUAAGCACAGAAAGCACAUGGAUUCUGUUUCGAAGGUGGUUGCGUAUAGCAAUUUGGGAUGGAUCCGCGGCGUAUUAGCUAGUUGUUAAGGUAAUGUCUUACCAAGGCAAUGAUACGUAGGCGAACUGAGAGGUUGAUCUGCCACAUUGGGACUGAGACACGGCCCAGACUCCUACGGGAGGCAGCAGAGGGAAUCUUCCACAAUGGACGAAAGUCUGAUUGAGCAACGCCGCGUGAGGGAAGAAGGUUUUCGGAUCGUAAAACUCUGUUGUCAGAGAAGAACGUGUGCGAGAGUAACUGUUCGUGCAGUGACGGUAUCUGGCCAGAAAGCCACGGCUAACUACGUGCCAGCAGCCGCGGUAA
rnacentral:rRNA from 1 species